GUUACCGUGUUGAGAGGGAAAAGUAAAAGUGAGUCAUUCCUUGCAGAGAGGACCAUCAUUGGCUGAGAGUGGUUUAGGAAUCUUGCUUUGAACAUGCACCCUUGAGUCUCUUUUUGAACAUUAUUUUUAGUAGGAAAGAGCGAGUUGCUUCGUUACAAGCUAGAAAAGAUGAGUAGGUAUUGCCUUCUCUAAGCAGAGUGGAACCGCGCCAAAAGCGCCUCUGUG
rnacentral:ncRNA from 1 species